rnacentral:rRNA from 1 species
GACGAACGCUGGGCGGCGUGCCUAAUACAUGCAAGUCGAGCCGAGCUUGCCUAGAUGAAUUUUGGUGCUUGCACCAAAUGAAACUAGAUACAAGCGAGCGGCGGACGGGUGAGUAACACGUGGGGUAACCUGCCCAAGAGACUGGGAUAACACCUGGAAACAGACGCUAAUACCGGAUAACAACACUAGACGCAUGUCUAGAGUUUAAAAGAUGGUUCUGCUAUCACUCUUGGAUGGACCUGCGGUGCAUUAGCUAGUUGGUAAGGUGACGGCUUACCAAGGCAAUGAUGCAUAGCCGAGUUGAGAGACUGAUCGGCCACAUUGGGACUGAGACACGGCCCAAACUCCUACGGGAGGCAGCAGUAGGGAAUCUUCCACAAUGGACGCAAGUCUGAUGGAGCAACGCCGCGUGAGUGAAGAAGGGUUUCGGCUCGUAAAGCUCUGUUGGUAGUGAAGAAAGAUAGAGGUAGUAACUGGCCUUUAUUUGACGGUAAUUACUUAGAAAGUCACGGCUAACUACGUGCCAGCAGCCGCGGUAAUACGUAGGUGGCAAGCGUUGUCCGGAUUUAUUGGGCGUAAAGCGAGUGCAGGCGGUUCAAUAAGUCUGAUGUGAAAGCCUUCGGCUCAACCGGAGAAUUGCAUCAGAAACUGUUGAACUUGAGUGCAGAAGAGGAGAGUGGAACUCCAUGUGUAGCGGUGGAAUGCGUAGAUAUAUGGAAGAACACCAGUGGCGAAGGCGGCUCUCUGGUCUGCAACUGACGCUGAGGCUCGAAAGCAUGGGUAGCGAACAGG